GCCUGUGGCUAUACCACACUGGAUGCACCUGAUCUUGCCUGAGCUCAGAAGCUCAAUAGGGUCGAGUGGGUCAAGUACGUGGUUGAGAGAUCUUCAUGACCAUGAAGGAAUUGGAU
rnacentral:rRNA from 1 species